CAGUCGCCACGGGAACACGGAGGAUCCAAGCGUUAUCCGGAAUCAUUGGGUUUAAAGGGUCCGUAGGCGGUCUUGUAAGUCAGUGGUGAAAGCCCAUCGCUCAACGGUGGAACGGCCAUUGAUACUGCAGGACUUGAAUUAUUGGGAAGUAACUAGAAUAUGUAGUGUAGCGGUGAAAUGCUUAGAGAUUACAUGGAAUACCAAUUGCGAAGGCAGGUUACUACCAAUUGAUUGACGCUGAUGGACGAAAGCGUGGGUAGCGAACAGGAUUAGAUACCCCCGUAGUCCCUGUCUCUUAUAC
rnacentral:rRNA from 1 species